rnacentral:rRNA from 1 species
AGUUGGUGGAGUGAUUUGUCUGGUCAAUUCCGAUAACGAACGAGACCUUAACCUGCUAAUUAGAUAGCAAUACUUCUAUUGUCUAUCUUCUUAGAGGGACUAUGUGUCCAAGCACAUGGAAGUUUGAGGCAAUAACAGGU